rnacentral:rRNA from 1 species
UACGGAGGGUGCAAGCGUUAUCCGGAUUCACUGGGUUUAGAGGGUGCGUAGGUGGGCAGGUAAGUCAGUGGUGAAAUCUCCGGGCUUAACCCGGAAACUGCCAUUGAUACUAUCAGUCUUGAAUACCGUGGAGGUAAGCGGAAUAUGUCAUGUAGCGGUGAAAUGCUUAGAUAUGACAUAGAACACCAAUUGCGAAGGCAGCUUACUACCCGAAUAUUGACACUGAGGCACGAAAGCGUGGGGAUCAAACAGG